UACGAGGGGGGCGAGCGUUGUUCGGAAUUAUUGGGCGUAAAGGGUGCGUAGGCGGUUUGGUAAGCCUUGUGUGAAAUCCCCAGGCUCAACUUGGAGUCUGCACGAGAAACUGCCGGGCUUGAGUGUGGGAGAGGUGAGUGGAAUUCCUGGUGUAGCGGUGAAAUGCGUAGAUAUCUGGAGGAACACCGGUGGCGAAGGCGGCGCUCUGGACUGCAACUGACACUGAACGACGAAAGCCAGGGGAGCAAACGGG
rnacentral:rRNA from 1 species